CACCAGAGGAGAAAUCUCCCCCGUUGCUUUGGAAACCGUGGGACAAGCUGGAGGAGACAACCCACUUACAAGACCAAGGUAACUGUCACGGAAAAACAUAUAUUUACAAACUGACAUUUUUUAAACGGACCAGCUUUGGGGAAUUAAUUACACCGAAUCUCUGUUCUUCAACACUAAGAUAGUUGCUGAGAAGAUGAAUCUCAUAUUGUGUACCUUUCAUUGAGUGUAUCAUACAGAAGUUUAUACUCGGACCAAGAUGGAAGACAAACCCCUGAACAUAAAAAACACAAAACUGAAAAAAAAUUGUCUGUUAUGCUAGGUGAUGAAAAUGCUGAUGUUGUGUGCGCGCGUCCGCAGUGGAGUUGCUGCUGUCCAUGUGUAGUUCCAUCUGCGUACCAGGAGGGGGCAGCAACUCAGAGCUGACUAUGCACUGUCUGCACCACUGUCAGGGAAACACAAUGGCCACACUUGACAUGCUGCUGUUCUCACAGCCCUCGCCAACGGGAGACUACCACUACUCUGGUAACCUUUCACCUUUGGCCUUACACUUAACUUUGGGGUUUUCUAAGUAAUAGUAAGGAAAAGUAGUAGAGCUUAAAUUUAUUUACAUUGAAGGCAGAGUAGCGUCUCUGCAACAGCCAACAGUUGUUUUAAUCUCAAAGUAAUGGAAGUCCGCACAGGAGUAACCAUUACCAAAGCUCUUUGUGUGCAAUAGUCGCCUUUGUAGAAGCUCAAGCCUCGUGCCACUUUAGUCACAUGCAAAAUCCACUCUCUCUCUCUCUUUUUGUUUCUUUGCUGCAUUCAAGAACCACGUAGAGUACAGCGCGGACAUUGUUCUGCACACAGUGUUCACUCUGUAGGUGGGUGUACUCCGGUAGACAGGGGUACCGUCGAAGGCCUUUGGCCCUCAGACGACGGUGUAACAACGCUCUGGAUGUCUUGGGUCCCAGCCAUUUACUCCCCGAAUGACGUUUGUCUGCAUUGAUCAACCCUUCCCUUAACCCCUGAAAAGAGAAAAGAGUCUCUUCACUGCAACUCUAGGAACUUAUGGAAAAGACUUUUUACGCAUACAGAAAAUGGUACACUAAUAAUACACUAAUGAUAGUUCUGACAACUGUCAAAUACCAACACAUGGGACAGAAAAUGUCAGAUUAACGUGUAUUAGUUAAUACAACGGUACAUUGUAGAUUGAUUAUGUUCUCAGAAAUAUUCUGUCAUGUAUUUGCACUGUCAGGUGUUUUUUUGAGAGCCAUGUAUUCACCGUGUCUGUGUGCAUGUUGCAGGUGAGGACUAAGACCGUGUGCCAGUGUGUGGAAUUUUACUGCCUGAGCAAAAAGCUGCAGGACAAGUUGAUGAAACAGAAGGAGGAGGAGAACAGAGAAAAACUGUUGUUUGCAUCUUGACAACAUCCAGAAAGUCUGGUUCCCCACCGAUGUCCCUGAUGUUUGUCUAUGAUUCUUUUUUUUCCUGUUGUAUAUAAUAAUGAAUUGCCUGUUAGGAUGACAAAAAUACAAUUGUCAAAGUGUUAUUUGCUGCUUUUAUUGAUUUGCAUUAAUUUAACCUGGGUUGUUUGCUGAAAUGAAUUUAAUUGCCCUGAAACAUUUUCCACCAGCUGCCACUACAUUGAAGUCAUCAUUUUUAAACUAAACGUUUGAGCAAGCACAUAUUUUAUGCAUCUGCGUUUUCUGCCCUCUUUUCUCAGUUUGACACCUUUUUUCAGUUUUUUUAAAUAUAGAACUUGAGGUGUGUGGAGAUAACAUAUGUCCUCAAAGAGUGUCAGUUGUGUUGCUCUUUCUUCCUUUGGGGUCCACAUCAUCCCGUUUUACUAGUUUUAACUUUCUAAAGCUAUGGUAAGCCAUGUCGAUCUUGUUUUUAUGGUUUUACCGGAAAAUCCUGAUUUGCAAUGACCAGGAAGAAAUCAGAGGCUUGGGCGUCGGAGGAGGCAGCCUGCAACAGUCCUGAAUGUCUUUUCUUUAUUUUCCACAAGCACAAGCCUGUGGAUAAAGGGGGAGAGGGAAACUAGACCAAUGGGGUGAGGGAUGGGGGGGAUGGGCGGAGGAGAAAACAGAGAAGUUACUGAGCACUGGCCAUUCACCUAUCCAUGGCAAGAAUGGAACCAGUAAAUAAAACCAGCUUUUUCAGCCAUUGAAAACAAGGGUAUGACGGGAAAGUAUUGUUGACAAAGUGUGCCAUUACUUUGAAAGCUACUGUACAUUCUUAUCCAAUACGUUGUCUUGUUCCUUCCAGAUAACUUUUGGCCCAUUUAUGCAGACACGAGAGGCCGGCAACACUGUUGUCGUUAUCUCACUGAAAAGUAGCCGACUGUGUGGUGAGUGCUAAGAGUACAAACAUUUUGGGGACAUUAAGUCAAAUUGCCGAACUCGAGGAACUGUGAAACGGACACAUUGCACUCUGUUUGAGCGUGAAUACGUAACAGCACUUGUAUAAGAAACUGAAAUACUGAGGACAGAUCAAUCCUAAGUGUCGGCCUGUGAUUGGAAUCGUCGAACCGUUGCUUUGCCAGCAGCUCACAUCUGCAGCAAGUGCAUCAGUGAAAGCUGACCCGUAAACUGCUGACUGUCACGCUUAAAGUGAAGACACGCACAUCUCAGAUUUGGCUCCUUAUGAAUCAUUGUGCAUGUUUAGAAAACUUCAUAGAAAGUUAGACGAUAACCAUUUUAAAUCGUCUCGUAUUUGACUUUUAACCAAAGCUGCAAUUAAUAAAAAUGCACACUUUUUAAUACAGGUAGAAAAAUCCGGUCUGAUACUGAUCAACUGACGUCUAAUGUAGAGGUACCAUCAGUAAAAGUAUAUGGGAUGCAAAAUAUGAGCAUUUGAAUGUAAAUGUGCAAAAAGACGGCAAAACAAUGUUAAAAGAAACUUUUACUGCAACACCUUUAACUUUGUUGACUUGUUACAGGUAAUAUUUUAAACCUGUGAAGUCUGCAAAGCAAUAGACAAAAUGUAUUAGGUCAGUUUUUUGAAAAUUGUGCCGUGCAACCCAGUGGACUAGUAAAUAUAUUUAUAGAUAUAUACAAAUAGAUUUAUAAAAAGAGACAUUAUCUGCCCCUGUGGAUGGAAUAGAAUGCUGGAUGGAACUGUAGUACACGUGUGUUCCGUGACUCUAAUACAUUAGAAUGUUGAGGUGUUCCAGUGUAUAAAGCCAGGCUCCGGUAAGAAUUAACCUCAGUAUCUUCAACAUCUCCGCAGAGGACACCUGGACAGCUCUGAAGCUCUGAGGCCGGCCGCGGCAAAACCACUGGUCACUGUUUUUUUUUUUUUCCUUUGACUGUGGUCAGGCUUCCUGGGGGGCUCCCCACCCAUCGUAGUGGCCCUGGGAUGGUGUAUUUCUGGUGACGUGAGGGUCUACCAUCCGACGAAUUAGCUGAUGAAGUUCCAAGCUUUUCAGGUGUCAACAUGUUACAUAUUUUAACUUUGUUUCUACAGCAUUUCAUUGAAAUGACGGAAAUAUUCUUAUACUGUAUGUAACCAAACUGGAGACAUCUGAAACAACUUGAACUCAUCAAGCGAUUUCAGUCGGGUGUAACCCUUUCAUGUCAGCAGAUUGCUGCUCACUGUGUUGAGCAGUUUGGGGAGUGUCCUGCAGCAAUUGUAUAGAUCUGCAUUCUGGGAAGACGCUGGUCACCCACGUAGUAGCCCUGGCUUGUCUAAGUCGAUGCUUACAGUGGGCGUUUGGACUGUGGGAAAGACUCAGUCCCGCUCUAUAAACCCUACAUUGGGGACCUCCGUUGCUAUGUAGUGGGAAGCCAUCGCGGCCCAGAGGAAACUUUCCUCUGGAGGACUGUUUCCUCUGGAGCUUGAGUGGCUGCUGUAAGCAUCGUUCAAAGAUGAUCGGUCGGUCUUCAAUGCUACAAGGAGACAGGAAGUCUGCGUGCCAGUCUGCCUCAGAGCUCACUUCAGGCUUCUUGUGUGUCCGAUGUAGGAUGCUGUUGUAAGAUACUCACACCAAACUCUUGUUGUUUAAAACGGCAGCAUAUCUGACCUGUAACUUUGGACCCAGAAUAGACUUUUACUGCCUCCGCUUCUCCUAAUUUGGCUCAAGAUGUUUGGUGUCACCAAAAUGAUUUUCGGAUUAACUAGUCUCUCCUUGAAUAUUGUAAACAUUGAUUAUUACUAAAGAGUUAUACGUAUGAAAUAGAUUUCAUUACACGAGAAAAAGGGAAAAGUAGAUACAUUGUAGGUACAUCUCUCGGCUCCUGACCCCGGAUUCCAGCCCUUCGACGUCUGACGCCGUAACUGCCGAUUCCUCCUGGCCGUCCUCCAGACCCUCCUCCAGAUCGUCCUCCUGGCCGUCCUCCAGAUCGUCCUCCAGAUCAUCCUCCAGGCCGUCCUCCAGAUCGUCCUCCAGACCGCCCUCCAGAUCGUCCUCCAGAUCGUCCUCCAGACCGUCCUCCAGACCAUCCUCCAGAUCGUCCGCCAGGCCGUCCCCCAGACCCUCGUCCAGGCCGCCCUCCAGAUCGUCCUCCAGAUCGUCCUCCAGAUCGUCCUCCAGACCGUCCUCCAGAUCGUCCUCCAGAUCAUCCUCAAGGCCGUCCUCCAGAUCGUCCUCCAGACCGUCCUCCAGAGAACUCCCGGUCACUCGACUGUGGUCCCCUGGACCGUCCUCUCCCUCCCACCCCAUAUUGUGUUUAGGUUAUUUCUCUGUAUGGCCCAACCACCCACCUUUGCGUUGAAUCAUUGACUCUUCUGUGUCGUGUUCCUAAAUAAAGUAUUUUUUGUUCGUAAA